CAAAAACAUCGCCUCUUGCAUUCCAAAGUAUAAGAGGUCCCACCUGCCCUGUGACUCUAAGUUUAACGGCCGCGGUAUUCUAACCGUGCGAAGGUAGCGCAAUCAAUUGCCUUUUAAAUGAAGGCCUGUAUGAAUGGUAUAACGAGGGUCUAGCUGUCUCUUUUUUCUAGUCAGUUAAACUGAUCUGUCCGUGCAGAAGCGGACAUAAAUAUACAAGACGAGAAGACCCUAUGGAGCUUUAGACACUAGCCAACUGUGAAUAAGCGACUGAACUGAACAAGUCCUAAAUACCCGCAGCCUUAUGGUGAUGUAGUCUUAGGUUGGGGCGACCACGGGAGAAAGUAAAGCUCCCAAGCAGACCGGGAAAACCCUUAAGCCGAGAGUUGCAACUCUAAGCCGCAAAAUUUUUGACUGAAAUGAUCCGGUUGAAAAACCGAUUAACGAACCAAGUUACCCUAGGGAUAACAGCGCAAUCCUCUCCCAGAGUCCCUAUCGACGAGGGGGUUUACGACCUCGAUGUGGAUCAGGACAUCCUAAUGGUGCAGCCGCUA
rnacentral:rRNA from 1 species